AAAAACUUAACCCUCUGAUUCCAAAGAGAGCUCCGCUCCACCAUUUUCUCUCUAUUCCCAAGCUACUCUCUCCACUUUGAGAGACCUUUCGCUUUCUCCUUUCUAUUUUUCCCGAAACAUAACUCUAAUAUUUCAGAACCUUCCUUCAUUCCCAAAUCUCAACCAAACGCCUCCAUCAGAGAACUCGGAUCCAAACCAUUGCAUCUCACCCCCGAACUUGAUUCUGAGCCAUCUUCUCUGCAAAUCGGACCCCAACAUCACAAAAUUAGAACCACGCUCAUAAUCUCCAUCGCCAUGGUCAGAACCGCCCCUCCAUCUUCGCUGCACUUCAUAAAUCGAGCUCAGCCGUGUAGAUCAGAAAGCCAAACCUCGUGAUCUUGGUGUCGAUACACUAACACGAACCUCGAACCGAGAAGAAACGGUAUAAAUCCUUUCCCCUUUAGUUUUUGCUAUGAUUUGUGAAUCCUUGGAUCUCUGGAAAAAAAAGAUUAUGUUCUGCAUUUGUUGAGUCUUUGGAAUUCUGUUUGCGUUGCAUGCAUCUCAGCUUUUUUCUAGGAAUGUAGUCAGUUUCUCUGUGCUAUCUAAAGUGUGGAUCUAAGCACAUAUGUGCUGUAGUGUCUGCAUGUCUAUGUGUUUGUAGGGGAGCCUCGAUCGAGAGCCAUGGUGACAAGGGAGAAAAGUAGAGAAGGCGGUGAAGAUCUCAAACGGCCAGCCUCGGAUCAAGAUUGAAAAGGUAUAAAAUUGCUUCCCUUUGUCAAUUGUGAAACGAGAUCUGUAAAAUUGCUUCCCUUUGUUAUAUUUUGGUGAAUGUUAUUAAUAUUUUGCCUUUCAAGUUUCAAUUUUUUGUUUUUGCUAGUCUCCAAAAAGAAAAUCAUUUGUGGAUCAAUGGUUUUGGUUCGUAAGAAAAUCAUUGCAAAAAAUAGAUGUUUAGAAAGUAUAUUCAACGGUCAUAUAAGUAUUUGCAAUCACAUUGACAUGUUGAAAAUAAAAUAAUUUUGCCAUUUUGAAAAUUUAUUUUCAACGGGAAGAUACUACUAAUGACAAGUCUUGUGCGUCGAUAAUAAAGUACUUUUGACGGCUAUUCGAAAAAAAAGUAUUUCCAAUUGAACAAUUUGCGACGCCCAGCGAGGGUAUUUUUCCUUCGAAAAUAAGUAUUUGCGACAGUAAAAUGUCUUUUCUAACGGUACAUUACCCUUGCAAAUGACUAUUUUUUUUGUAGUGUUAUUUGUGUGGUCACGGUUAAGUUAUGUCAAAAUUUUAUAUUGAUUUUUUUUCAUAGAGAUAAUAAGACAAAAAACAAUAUGAAUAUAAAAUGUUGACGUGACUUAACCGUGACUGCAUAAAUAGGAGUGGAUGGGAAGGGCACCAUAACAGGAGGGUAGACAAUUUACCUCCAACCCUUCCCAUCCCCUCUUAUUUGUGCGGUCACGGUUAAUUCACGUAAAUAUUUUAUAUUGAUUUUUUUAUAAAGAUAAUAAGAUAAAAGGUAAUAUGAAUAUAAAAUGUUGACGUAAUUUAACUAUGACCUCACAAAUAAAAAAGGAUGAGAAGUAUACCAUAACAUAACAGGAUGUCAGACAAUAUGCCUCUAAUGAAGUACCCCACUACUAGUCUACUACUUUGAUUGAUCCUCUGAACGCCUGAAGCUUCAGAUCAAUUAUUAAAGGUUUACUGUCAUCAUCUUAUGCUUUUUGUUUUGCUUGUCCCAUUUUUUAUUCCAAUAUUGUUGAAGAUUCUUAUUCUUUCCUUCUGGCCAACUUGUUGAAGGUGCUCAAGUUACAUAGGGUUUUUAGACUAGGUGGUGUCAUGAUGCAACUUUCAUCCACGAUUACCCCAUGGGGCAAUCACUCGAGAAAUGUUUUUAGGAUGAGGAUCCUCUUUAUGAGAAUUUAAAGAAUCAAUCAAUUAUAUUUGUUUAUCGUACAUUGUACGAUUUGUUUUUGUUAGAUAUUAUUAUGUUCAAUUUUAAAUAAAAAAUCAAAAUAAUUUAUAACAGCAUGAUAUACAAUAAACGAAUACGAUUGAUUGAUUGCCACAUAAAGAGGAUCCUAAUCAAUGUUUUAUUCAUUUCGUCUGUAAAAUUUGAACAUGAGACAUCUUCCAACAAAAUAAAGAUCGGAAAUGUAACGGAAAAUAAGUUAAUUAGGGUAAAAUUGCAUUUGUAUACAAUUCUUCAAAAAAAAUUAUGGUACAGGGCCUUACAUUCUUGUCAAAGGGGGCUAUUCGAUGAAGAGUACAAAAGGCUUAGGGUUAUGGAUUACACGAAUGGUUAGCUGAGUGAU
rnacentral:lncRNA from 1 species